UUUUAAAAUCUUGCUGUCUGUGUGAUGGGCCUUAGCACUGGGAGGAGCUGGCAUGAAUCAGGACGGCGGUAAUGCACGCUUUGUGCUGCACUAGAAAUCUCAGCUUGUGAAGGAGAUAUCAAAGCUGGCCUUGGGAUAAAUCUGCUGGAUGGCCAGGGCUUCACUGUGGCCUGUUUGUCUUUCCUGCUGAUCUCUGCAUUAUCUAUAGAAACGCAGCCCCAUGGGAAGAUGACCAGGAAGCCCUAAGACCUUGUACAAAGCAUCAUGACCCUUUCUGCAAGCUCCGGUGCUUGAGCAUGUGAUCCUGAACAGCAUCUCCACCUGUAUUUUCCAAGGAGAGGUUUGCAGUCUUCCCUCAAAAGUGGAAACAAGAAAUCAACUGUUCCAUUUGUUGUUCCUCAGAUCUUUAAGGAGCAGGACCCUGACAGAGAUUUCAUCAUCUCAUUUGUGACUCAGACCAAUGAACUACGUAGUAAAGAUCAUAAUGUCUAAAGGAAACACAAUAAAAUACACUGUAAGAUUAAUACACGAGAUGAGAAAUGCAGUUGGAGCACACAUCCUGCCACUUCAAUCAUUAUAGGUAAUGAUAUCCACAAUUAAGUCCCGAAUAUUAUAUAUUAACUAUAGGUGGGAACAGGCCAGGUUUGAUGAAUUUUCCCAGUUCUUGGUUAUGUAUAGUUCAGGGAACUAAAGCAGUGACAGAUGAAGGCAAAGCUCCCAGAUAAGAAUUAAGCAACCUAUGUGU